CCUCAUUAUUUUCCUUCACUGGUUGACACCGAAACCCUAGCCUCCGUCUUCUUCUACCAUCUAAGAGGUUCUACAAUCUUUUCUAUGCUAAAACCCUAGAUAUCUCUACUACUGCACUUCAUCAGAUCAUAUUGGAUCUUCACUGGUUCACACUGAAUCACUCCCAGGUUCCGAGGGCAAUGAUGGUGAUUCAUUCGUUGAUUGUUGUGUAGAUAGAUGAUCGAUUAAGCGGACUACAAGUCUUCAAAGGGGAUUGGGAACUACACACACGAUUUGAGGUUUUGGGUUUCAAUCCAAUCCGUAUAAUUUCUUCUCAAAAUCUCUCUGAUCCUUCCAUUUUUUAGAAGAAAGGUAGUGAUGGGGUUUGCAGUGCCACUUAGAUUCAUGAAGCAUACAUUUAGUUUGAACCCUAAAUCCGUUAAUGGCAGUCGCAUCUUCUUCAGAUAUCAUAAGAAGUAUAAAAGUGUUGAUUUGAAGCCUAUCAAGAAUUGGGUCAGACAGAUCCUUUACGAGGAGGUAUUAAAUGCUGGAAGCAAUAUGAUCUAAUCAAUGGAUGAGUUCAGCAGUCUUGUGAGGCUACAUGCACUAAUCUUGAAUGCUUCAAUUGUCUCUUCUAGAGCUUUCACGGAACCGAACCGAGUGUUUAAUUUGGCUUAUAGGAAUCGAACCGAGUGUUUAAAGGAAAGGGUUCUUUGUUACUGCCACUGUUGCAAGGUUACUAAGCCAAUCCACGAUUAAGAACUCAACUUGACAAGAUAUUAGACGUACUAACUCGAGUCAACAAGAAGCUCCUUAGAACAACACUUCAAGACCAAAGCACCUAAUUUGUCCAAGCAACAAUAUGGGAGGAAGUUGCGACUUCCUACGACAAAGGGUGGCCCUGCUGAGAUGUUCACCUGUGCACUUCACUAGGGCUACACGCGUGUGACAUAAAUACGCGUUAACCCAGAUUUGAAGAAAUAUAAAAAAAUACAUCCAUAUCAACAAGAGAGCAUGAAUACACGUUUGCUGACAUGCACAACAAAACUGUAAAAAAGAAACAAUAGCCUCUGUUCGUAACCGUUGAGUUUGGGAUUACAGGUACCAAUUUUUUAUGUUUUAUUCAUUUUAUAGUUAUUCACAUAGUUACCAAAUUCGCUCCUAGAGCCGAGGAUUUCGAAUUGGUACGAACUGUACCAUAUGGAAUUCGAUUUCAAACCAAUUCGCCGCCAAUUCGCGAAUGCAAUGAUUCUGAUCGGUGCUCUAGGUAAGAAAUCCAAUCGUUCUAAUCUAAUUUUACAUACCCUUCUGAAUGAUUUGAAAUACUCGGACCAGAUCGUUUUUAGGGCGUUCCGAGUCGGAGUUACCAAAUUCGCUGGUAGUGUUAAAAAGAUGCGGCUGGUGUAAUAGAAAUAUUAGGGUUUUUUGUGUUGUUUAGUGAAGAAGAAAUAAAUAAAAAGAGAAAUAGAUUGUGUGUGCAUGCGGCUGUUAAAACAAUUUUAAAAUCGGUUUUGGUCGGGUUGAAACGGGUAUUGGCCAUAAACCAAUAUUUAAAAGGUUUGGGUGACAAGAUGGGGAAUAAUCGGCGAAAUAACAAAAUUUAUAACAUACCUUUUAAAAACUCUAAAAAACUAAUACAUUGAGAAAUACCAAAAUUUAUAACAGGUAAACAGGCAUUGAGUUUUAGUUUUUAAUAUGGUGUGUAAUCUUCAUUUAAAAGGCACACCGUACAAGGCGAUCAGGAUAGCGCGUCACGGCCUUGAGGGCACUUUAACUAUUUAUGGGUCGAAACUGGUCAAAGUUUGUCAAAGUUAGGGUGUGUAGGAGGCUUACAUGUAAAAACAAGCAAAGGCAUGAAUAUGAACAGUUUGCUUAAUAAAAGGGUUAAUAUGUAAAAAAAAACUAGUGUGAGAGACGCAGCUUCAGGUUGUAAAUAAAGUUUUUUUUAUCGUGCGUAGACCAACAUCUCGCGUACGUGAUGUGCACGCCUCAGAUUUUGGGACCCGAACGCCUCAGAGCGCUUCUUGCUUUUUAAACCAAGCACUGAAUACAUAUAAAAGAGAAAUAGAGUAUGAGUUUUCCCCUUAAUAAUUCUUAAGCUAUUUCCCCAUGGAAAUGUUUCCUAUGGAUCUGCUUAAUACAUUAACUUAAACAUUAAACUAUAAAUUCAAUGUUGCAGCUGCAUUGUUCUACUUUGCCUUCGAGGUUUUUUUUCAUUUUUAAAGUAUUUCAGGUAUCCGUUAGGCGUCCCAUUGAUCAGAUAUCAUGGUUAUAUGAAGAUCUGCACAUAAAUGUCAUAUAUCCAGGAAAGGAUCGUGACUUAGCUUAGUCUAAAGUCAAAUGAUUGGAAGCCCUUGUGUCCAUAAACCAUAGAUUUUCUUCAUUGGCAGUGUCCAUGCUGAAUUUAAGAGCAUCAAUGUCCAUCAAGCGGGCCUGCCCUGAACCUUGAGAAGAAAACGAGGCAUGUCCUGAACUUUGAGAAGAACUGGGUACAGAAUGGAGGGGCAGCCCAGCAGAGUGGAUUGGGCCAACCAGGUUGAGGAUACAAAAAAAAAUGUUGAAUCUACGCCAUCAUCAUUCAGUGAUUGCAAAUAAAUUAGAUUGCGUGAAAUAAUAAAUCUUGCAAAAUCUGGCAAAAAAUCAUGUUUUUUAAUUCUGUAAUUUUCUUUUUGAGAAGCUGACAUGUCACCUUAUUUUUUGAUACAGCAUGUCAGUGCUUAUGGUAUCGGUCUACACCAAACGGUUGAUGUUUUUCAUCGACUUAUGCAAUUUUCAUUAUUUGCAGAUUAUUGAGGGUUUGUGAGUUUGCUAAAAUUUCUGCUAAAAAUUGAAUUUUAUGUAUGAAACAGUUGGAAGCUAUCGUUUUUCCUCUUUGCCUCACUUUUCUAAUGUAUAUCGGGUCGUUUAUUCUCAAAUUUAUAUCAAUUUGGAGUUCAUGGACCAAACAUAGGGGACCACCAGAUAGAUAUAUCAUUUCAUGGUAUAAAGAGUGGUCUGCAAAACCUCAUUAACGAGAUGGUUUCAGCUGUUUACAAUAUUUCAAUUUGAAGAAUGUAUAUUGUGGCUCCUCCCUCUUACGGAAGAGUUAGUUUUUAGAGCUUGUAUUAUAUUGUUACUUGUAUGUGGAGGGUUUAAACCAUAUACAGUAGGAUAAUUGCACUUGCCUAAGUAAGCAUUUCUCUCUUUUUGCUA